rnacentral:misc_RNA from 1 species
CGCACAUUGCACUCUGUUUACGCAGAGUAUGCCUGUUUGAGAAUCUAUAGUAUUCAUUUUUGGGUUUUUGCCUAAAAGAUUUGCGCAGUGUCUUUUUGACUGGUGCUAAAUAAAUUACUUGACUGGUAGUGAAUGUUUGAGGCUGCUAGUGGAGAUGCUAUGAAUGAGACGAAUGUUUCUAAUUGGCAGGUACAUGGGCAGUUAGUUUACUAUGAGGUAGAGUUUAUCCUUGAGGCGCUAGCUUGCUAGUGAUCUGAACCAAGGUCUCAAAUCAGGUAGGAAGACCCGCUGAACUUAA